GAUGAACGCUGGCGGCGUGCUUAACACAUGCAAGUCGAACGGACAGGCGAUGCUUUUGCGGGGUGUUCGAGUGGGGCACGGGUGUGUAACACGUGAGUAUACUGGCCAUGGCUUUGUGAUAACUUCAGGAGACUGGGGAUAAUACAGGAUAGGAGCUCCUGCAGCACGGUGGGGGUUGGAAAGAUUCGGCGGUUGGGGAUGGACUCGCGGCUUAUCAGCUUGUUGGGGGAGUAGUGGCUUACCAAGUCUUCGACUGGUAGUCGGCCUGGGAGGGUGAACGGCCACAAGAGUACUAAGAGACGGCCCAGACGCGUAUGGUAGGCAGCAGUGGAGAAUCUUGCGCAAUGAUCGGGAGCCUGAGGCAGCGGCGCCGGGUUCGUAAUGACGUCUUUCGGGUGAUGAACCGCUGUCGCCUGAGACGAAGCGGGAUUGACGGUAAUGAGUAAAGAAGCACCGGCUAACUACGUG
rnacentral:rRNA from 1 species